rnacentral:rRNA from 1 species
UACGAAGGGGGCUAGCGUUGCUCGGAAUCACUGGGCGUAAAGGGCGCGUAGGCGGCCAUUCAAGUCGGAGGUGAAAGCCCAGGGCUCAACCCUGGAAUUGCCUUCGAUACUGUUUGGCUAGAGACCGGAAGAGGUAAGUGGAACUGCGAGUGUAGAGGUGAAAUUCGUAGAUAUCGGGAGGAACACCGGUGGCGAAGGCGGCGACCUGGGUAGAUACUGACGCUGAGGUGCGAAAGCGUGGGGAGCAAACAGG